UGAGGAGUUCUGUAACUACGGAUCCUAACUUUCUAUCGAAUUGGACGAAAGCCGCCCCAGCCUUAUCUCCUCCUCCACUCUCUCUCUCAUGGGUGUUCUCUCCCUCUCCCUCUCCCUCUCCCUCUCCCUCUCUCAAUCUCCGCCGCCGACCACAGGCCCAGUCGCUGAUCUCACCAUAGAUCGAAGCCACCGCACCAUAGGCCCUGCCGCUGACCAGAUCGGCUCAAAGCCUCCACAAUGCAGGCCGCCAUCGACCGGAUCGGCUUGAAGAUGCCGCGAUGCAGGCUACCGCCGCUUCGCUGGAGGGCGCGGUCGCAUGGAUCCGCUCUAGGCCGCCGUCACUUUGCUGGAGCUCGCGGACGUGCAGAUCCGCUUGGGUUCGUAGCUGCUUCGCCGGAGGUCGCCACUGCUCAGAUCUACUUGAGGCCACUACCGCUGCCUUGAUCCGCUUGAUUGCGCUAGAAGGAAGAAGUCGCCGAUGCCGUGAAGGGAGCCCUUCCCACAGUCAGGUCGUCGCAUCGCCUUUCCCCUCCUCUUCCGCCUGCCUCGCCUCGCCCCACCUCUCCUCGUUCGCUCUCUGUUCUCCAUUCGGCACCACCAACCGAGGUGGAGGAGUUCAUGGGGGCUUCCAGAUCGGAGAGGGGUUCCCUCGCACUGAAGGAGGGUUGCCCAUCUCGGGGAGCUGCCUGGGUUCGUCAUCACGCAGCGGAGGGCUCCAUUGUUUGUUCAUCUUGUAUGAAGGAAUUCUUGUUUGUUCAUCUUGUAAAUUUUUGUUUGCUCAUCUUGUAUUGCAUGCCUCGUGCCUUCGAAUAUGAUUUGUUUUCUCUGAGAUGGAUGCCUCAUUCCGUCAUUCGAUUGAGAGAAAUAGAGGAUCGGAGGAGGCUGUUUUGGCACCAUUUUUGUGAUUGAGAGGAGGUGGCUUGAUGUGGAUUGUUCUGUGUGGCUGGCUUAAUGCAGAGGCCGGCUCGAUGUAGCGGCUUGAUGUGAGCCGUUUCUUUUCUUUAUUUUGUAAUUACUCAUCAGUGAUCUAGACCUAUGACUGUUAAUGAUCAUGAGUGAUGAAUUUUGAUUCAGAUUCGCUA